rnacentral:rRNA from 1 species
AGUGAACGCUGGCGGUAGGCCUAACACAUGCAAGUCGAACGGCAGCACAGUAAGAGCUUGCUCUUACGGGUGGCGAGUGGCGGACGGGUGAGGAAUACAUCGGAAUCUACUUUUUCGUGGGGGAUAACGUAGGGAAACUUACGCUAAUACCGCAUACGACCUACGGGUGAAAGCAGGGGAUCUUCGGACCUUGCGCGAUUGAAUGAGCCGAUGUCGGAUUAGCUAGUUGGCGGGGUAAAGGCCCACCAAGGCGACGAUCCGUAGCUGGUCUGAGAGGAUGAUCGGCCACACUGGAACUGAGACACGGUCCAGACUCCUACGGGAGGCAGCAGUGGGGAAUAUUGGACAAUGGGCGCAAGCCUGAUCCAGCCAUACCGCGUGGGUGAAGAAGGCCUUCGGGUUGUAAAGCCCUUUUGUUGGGAAAGAAAAGCAGCAGGUUAAUACCCCGCUGUUCUGACGGUACCCAAAGAAUAAGCACCGGCUAACUUCGU